rnacentral:rRNA from 1 species
GACGAACGCUAGCGGCAGGCUUAAUACAUGCAAGUCGAACGGCAGCACAGCAGUAGCAAUACUGUGGGUGGCGAGUGGCGGACGGGUGAGGAAUACAUCGGGAUCUACCUUUUCGUGGGGGAUAACGUAGGGAAACUUACGCUAAUACCGCAUACGCCCUACGGGGAAAGCGGCGGACCGCAAGGCGUCGCGCGAUGAGAUGAACCGAUGUCCGAUUAGCUAGUUGGCGGGGUAAAGGCCCACCAAGGCGACGAUCGGUAGCUGAUCUGAGAGGCUGAACGGCCACACUGGAACUGAGACACGGUCCAGACUCCUACGGGAGGCAGCAGUGGGGAAUAUUGGGCAAUGGGCGAAAGCCUGACCCAGCAACGCCGCGUGAGGGAAGAAGGUCUUCGGAUUGUAAACCUCUGUUGACAGGGACGAAGGAAGUGACGGUACCUGUUGAGGAAGCCACGGCUAACUACGUG